GACGUAGGGGGCGAGCGUUGUCCGGAUUUAUUGGGCGUAAAGAGCUCGUAGGCGGCUCAGAAAGUCGGGUGUGAAACCUCCAGGCUCAACCUGGAGACGCCACCUGAUACUGCUGUGGCUAGAGUCCGGUAGGGGACGCUGGAAUUCCCGGUGUAGCGGUGAAAUGCGUAGAGAUCGGGAGGAACACCAGUGGCGAAGGCGGCUACCUGGACCAGCACUGACACUGAGGCACGAAAGCGUGGGGAGCAAACAGGG
rnacentral:rRNA from 1 species